GAUGAACGCUGGCGGCGUGCCUAAUACAUGCAAGUCGAGCGAACAGACGAGGAGCUUGCUCCUUCGACGUUAGCGGCGGACGGGUGAGUAACACGUAGGUAACCUACCUAUAAGACUGGGAUAACUUCGGGAAACCGGAGCUAAUACCGGAUAAUAUUUCGAACCGCAUGGUUCGAUAGUGAAAGAUGGCUUUGCUAUCACUUAUAGAUGGACCUGCGCCGUAUUAGCUAGUUGGUAAGGUAACGGCUUACCAAGGAAACGAUCCGUAGCCGACCUGAGAGGAGGAGCAGCCAACCCGGAACGGAGACACGGUCCAGACUCCCACGGGAGGGAGGAGGGGGGAAUAUUUGCGCAAGGGGGGAAACCCGGACCAACCACCGCGCGGGGGGGAAGAAGGGUUUCGGGUUGUAAAGACUUUUUUUUGGGGAAAAAAAAAAGCAGGAAAAUACCCCGCUGUUCUGAAGGGUCCCAAAGAAGAAGCCCCCGCUAACUUCGUG
rnacentral:rRNA from 1 species